rnacentral:tRNA from 1 species
UUGGUGGUUCAGUGGUAGAAUUCUUGCCUUCCAUGCAAGGGACCUGGGUUCAAUUCCCAGCUAA